rnacentral:rRNA from 1 species
UGGCUAAUACCGGAUGAGCCGAAAGGUGAAAGGCUUGCUGCCUAGAGAUGAGCUCGCGUCUGAUUAGCUAGUUGGUGUGGUAAGAGCGCACCAAGGCGACGAUCAGUAGCUGGUCUGAGAGGAUGAUCAGCCACACUGGGACUGAGACACGGCCCAGACUCCUACGGGAGGCAGCAGUGGGGAAUUUUCCGCAAUGGGCGAAAGCCUGACGGAGCAAUACCGCGUGAGGGAGGAAGGCUCUUGGGUUGUAAACCUCUUUUCUCAAGGAAUAAGAAAGUGAAGGUACUUGAGGAAUAAGCAUCGGCUAACUCCGUGCCAGCAGCCGCGGUAAUACGGAGGAUGCAAGCGUUAUCCGGAAUGAUUGGGCGUAAAGGGUCCGCAGGUGGCACUGAAAGUCUGCUGUUAAAGAGUGAGGCUCAACCUCAUAAGAGCAGUGGAAACUACAGAGCUAGAGUGCGUUCGGGGUAGCAGGAAUUCCUGGUGUAGCGGUGAAAUGCGUAGAGAUCAGGAAGAACACCGGUGGCGAAAGCGUGCUACUAGGCCGUAACUGACACUGAGGGACGAAAGCUAGGGGAGCGAAUGGGAUUAGAUACCCC